UGAACGCUAGCGGCAGGCUUAACACAUGCAAGUCGAGGGGCAGCGCGGGGCGGCAACGUCCUGGCGGCGACCGGCGGAAGGGUGCGUAACGCGUGAGCGACAUGCCCGUUGCCCGGGGACAACCGGUGGAAACGCCGACUAAUCCCCGAUGGGACGGAGGCCCUCAUGGGUCUCUGUUGAAAGUUACGGCGGCGACGGAUUGGCUCGCGUCCGAUUAGCUUGUUGGCGGGGUAACGGCCCACCAAGGCUACGAUCGGUAGGGGUUCUGAGAGGAAGGUCCCCCACAAUGGAACUGAGACACGGUCCAUACUCCUACGGGAGGCAGCAGUGAGGAAUAUUGGUCAAUGGGCGGAAGCCUGAACCAGCCAUGCCGCGUGCGGGAAGGAGGCCCUAUGGGCUGUGAACCGCUUUUGCCUGGGGGCAAUAAGGGCGUCGCGCACGUCCGAUGAGAGUACCAGGGGAAUAAGCAUCGGCUAACUCCGUGCCAGCAGCCGCGGUAAUACGGGGGAUGCGAGCGUUAUCCGGAUUCAUUGGGUUUAAAGGGUGCGUAGGCUGUGCGUCAAGUCAGGGGUGAAAUUCCGGGGCUCAACUCCGGGGCUGCCCUUGAUACUGUCGCGCUGGAGUGCGGAUGCCGCCGGAGGAAUGAGUGGUGUAGCGGUGAAAUGCUUAGAUAUCACUCAGAACACCGAUUGCGAAGGCAUCUGGCGAAUCCGUAACUGACGCUGAGGCACGAAAGCGUGGGGAUAGAACAGGAUUAGAUACCCUGGUAUUCCACGCCGUAAACGAUGAUGGCUAACCGCCGGCGACAUACUGUCGGUGGCCAAGCGAAAGCGA
rnacentral:rRNA from 1 species